rnacentral:rRNA from 1 species
GAUCAUGGCUCAGGACGAACGCUGGCGGCGUGCUUAGCACAUGCAAGUCGAACGAGAGGACAAGAGAAGCUUGCUUCUUUUGAAAUCGAGUGGCAAACGGGUGAGUAACACGUAAACAACCUGCCUUCAGGAUGGGGAUAACAGACGGAAACGACUGCUAAUACCGAAUACGCUUGGGAGACCGCACGAUCUUCCAAGGAAAGGGUGGCCUCUACCUGUAAGCUAUCGCCUGAAGAGGGGUUUGCG